ACGUAGGGUGCAAGCGUUAAUCGGAAUUACUGGGCGUAAAGCGUGCGCAGGCGGUUAUAUAAGACAGAUGUGAAAUCCCCGGGCUCAACCUGGGAACUGCAUUUGUGACUGUAUAGCUAGAGUACGGUAGAGGGGGAUGGAAUUCCGCGUGUAGCAGUGAAAUGCGUAGAUAUGCGGAGGAACACCGAUGGCGAAGGCAAUCCCCUGGACCUGUACUGACGCUCAUGCACGAAAGCGUGGGGAGCAAACAGGAUUAGAUACCCUGGUAGUCCACGCCCUAAACGAUGUCAACUGGUUGUUGGGUCUUCACUGACUCAGUAACGAAGCUAACGCGUGAAGUUGACCGCCUGGGGAGUGCGGCCGCAAGGUUG
rnacentral:rRNA from 1 species